CGGGACGGGUGAGUAACGCGUGGGUAACCUGCCUUGUACUGGGGGACGAACAGUUGGAAACGACUGCUAAUACCGCAUAAGCGCACAGCUUCGCAUGAAGCAGUGUGAAAAACUCCGGUGGUACAAGAUGGACCCGCGUCUGAUUAGCUGGUUGGUGAGGUAACGGCCCACCAAGGCAACGAUCAGUAGCCGGCCUGAGAGGGUGAACGGCCACAUUGGGACUGAGACACGGCCCAG
rnacentral:rRNA from 1 species